UCGGCGAGUAGCGCAGCUUGGUAGCGCAACUGGUUUGGGACCAGUGGGUCGGAGGUUCGAAUCCUCUCUCCCGAC
rnacentral:tRNA from 2 species